rnacentral:ncRNA from 1 species
UGGAACAAUGUAGGUAAGGGAAGUCGGCAAAAUGGAUCCGUAACCUCGGGAAAAGGAUUGGCUCUGAGGGCUGGGCACGGGGGUCCCGGUCCCAAACCCGUCGGUUGUCGGCGGACUGCUCGAGCUGCUCUCACGGCGAGAGCGGGUCGCCGGGUGCCGGCCGGGGGAUGGACCGGGAACGGCUCCCUCGGGGGCCUUCCCCGGGCAUCGAACAGCCAACUCAGAACUUGUACGGACAAGGGGAAUCCGACUAUUUAAUUAAAACAAAGCAUUGCGAUGGUCCUUGCGGAUGCUAUCGCAAUGUGAUUUCUGCCUAGUGCUCUGAAUGUCAAAGUGAAGAAAUUCAACCAAGUGCAGGUAAAUGGCGGGAGUAACUAUGACUCUCUUAAGGUAGCCAAAUGCCUCGUCAUCUAAUUAAUGACGCACAUGAAUGGAUUAACGAGAUUCCCACUGUCCCUGUCUACUAUCCAGCGAAACCACARMCAAGGGAACGGGCUUGS